rnacentral:rRNA from 1 species
UACGUAGGGUGCGAGCGUUAAUCGGAAUUACUGGGCGUAAAGCGUGCGCAGGCGGUUCGCCAAGUCAGGUGUGAAAGCCCCGGGCUCAACCUGGGAACUGCAUUUGAGACUGAAGAACUCGAGUUCGGGAGAGGAUGGCGGAAUUCCCAGUGUAGAGGUGAAAUUCGUAGAUAUUCGGAGGAACACCAGUGGCGAAGGCGGACUCACGUGGCUCGGAUACUGACGCUGAGGUGCGAAAGCGUGGGGAGCAAACAGG